UAGGGAAUCUUCCACAAUGGACGCAAGUCUGAUGGAGCAACGCCGCGUGAGUGAAGAAGGCUUUCGGGUCGUAAAACUCUGUUAUUGAAGAAGAACGUGUGUGACAGUAACUGGUCAUGCAGUGACGGUAUUCAAUCAGAAAGUCACGGCUAACUACGUGCCAGCAGCCGCGGUAAUACGUAGGUGGCAAGCGUUGUCCGGAUUUAUUGGGCGUAAAGCGAGUGCAGGCGGUCUUUUAAGUCUGAUGUGAAAGCCUUCGGCUUAACCGAAGAAGGGCAUCGGAAACUGGGAGACUUGAGUGCAGAAAGAGGA
rnacentral:rRNA from 1 species